UCCCUGGUGGUCCAGUGGUUAGGACUUGGAGCUCCCAAUGCAGGAGACCCAGGUUUGAUCCCUGGUUGGGGAA
rnacentral:tRNA from 1 species